rnacentral:ncRNA from 12 species
AUUGCCCGAGGUGGGAAAAUACGUUGCACCCACACACCCUAUGGGUUAAAAGAGAUCCUGCAGAAUGCGACGGCAGGCGGGCAUU